UUGGAAACUGCUCCAGCAUUUUGAGUCUCUGUGUUUGUGUAUUCUUCUUUGGAUAUUAUUGGUGCAAUUGUUGGACAAAAUGACUUGCAGUGGUAUUAAUUGCACUAAUAGAGCGUCCAAGGAGUCUCCACUUCAUUUUUUUCGGGAAGGACCUGAUUGGUGUCCAGAACCUGUUGAAGAAGCACCAGGCUCUGCAGGCUGAGAUCACAGGUCAUGAACCUCGCAUCAAGGCUGUCACCCAGAAAGGAGAGACCAUGGUGGAGGAAGGUCACUUCGCUGGUGAGGAGGUGAAGACUAAGCUGUCAGAGCUUCAUGGACGUUGGGACACGCUAAAGGCCAAGGCGUCCCAGAGGAGGCAGGACCUGGAGGACUCUCUGCAGGCCCAGCAGUACUUUGCGGAUGCUAAUGAGGCCGAGUCCUGGAUGAGGGAGAAGGAGCCCAUCGUUGGAAGUCCAGG